UCCUGAAGAGGAAGAUGAUGAAAUCAAAUGUUCCAAGAUUGAAGAAAAGGAUGAGUCCAAAACCAUCAAAGAAGUAAAUGAUGAUGCCAUAGGUGAAGAGGAGGUUGAAGUCAUAAACCCCAUUGAAGAAAACAAUGAAGUCAAUAUCCCCCAGAGGCGACGGAGAAGAGGUUAAAAGUACCAGAGAAGGAGAUAAUAGUGUCAAAGGCAUAGAGGGGAACAAAGUCAAAAACUCCAGAGUUGAGGAAGAGAUUGAGAUCAGAAGUCCCAAAGAAGAUGAUGAAGUCAAAGAUGAAGAGGGGAAUGAGAUCAAGAGUCCCCGAGACAAGGACGAUGAGGUUGGAGAUGAAGAAGAAGAUGAUGUCAAAAGCUACAAAGAAGAUGAUGAAGUCAAAGAUGAAAAGGUGCAUGAGGUCAAAAUUCCCAGAGAAACGCAAGAUGAGGUUGAUGAAGAGGAAGUUGAGGUCAAAGGUUCCAAAGAAGAUGAUAACGUCAAAGAUGAAGAGAGGGAUGAGGUCAAGAGUCCCAGAGAAGAGUACAAAGUGGUCGGAGAUGAAGAAGAAGAGGUCAAAAGCACCAAAAAAGAAAAUAUUCAGGCCAAAGAUGAUGAGGGAGAUGAAGUCACCAGCCCUGGGAGAGAGGUACAGGAUGUUGUCAGAAAAGAUGUGGUUGGUAUUGAAGACCCCAGAGCAGAAGACAAAGUCAGACAUGAAAAAAGGAAUGUGGUCAUUAGUUCUAAUGUUGAAGUAAAGGAACCCACAGAAAAAGAGAAGGAUGAAGUUAAGGGCCCCAGAGAAGAAGGUGGGAAGGUAAAAAAUAGAGAAGGGAAUAUUAUCAUUGACCCCAAGGAUGAGGAUGCAGAUGAGGUAAAAGGUUCUGUUGUAGCAGAUGAUUCGAGUAUGGAUGAAGAUGGGAUCAAAGGCUCUAGAGGAGAUGAGGAGGAUGUUCCCAGAGGAGAGGAAGAAGGCAAUUUUAAAGGGUCCAUAGAAGAGGAGGAGGAGGAGGAGGAGGAGGGGGAUAUGAUCAAAAGCCCCAGAGAUUUGAAUGAUGAGCUCGAAGGCCCCAUAGAAGAUGUCAUAAGAGGAGAGGAAGAGCUUGACCUCAAAGACCCUGAAAAUAAAGAGAAGAAAAUGGUCAAGACUGGACAAAAAAGUGAAGAACAACAUGGCACAGACAGUCUAGGAAAAGAGCAGAGAAAGGAGAAUGAAGUAUGUACAGUUGAAAAGUCAGAAGAAACAAAGGUUACUGAUCUGACAAAAAAGGAAAAUCUGGGUGAAAUCGUGGAUGACAAAACUGUGUGGCAUUUAAAGGGCCAAGUUCAUGAGAGCAGCAAAACCAAUCAAUUGCAGAGUAAGAGCUUUGAAGAAAUAUAUGAAGGCAAACCAGAGAGUAAUUUCAAGAGUGUUCACAAGGCAAUGGAUAACAAAAUUGAACAAGAGAUGGUGAGAGAGGUGACGACUGGAAUAACUGAAGAACCAACAGCACUAGAGCACCUGCAAGUUGGGGGUGAGAAAGAAAGGAAGCAAAUACUGGGUACCAAUAGUUGUAAUAAAACAUUUGGGGAUAAUACCCAGACGUCAAAAAGGGUCGAUAGCAGUUCCGAAGAAAAGGAUGAAAAAGCAAGGUGUGAAUUAAAUGAAGAACAAAAUGAACUAGCAGAAGGUGGGGAGCAGGAUUCAUCAAUAGGUAGAGUGUCAUUGGGGGAAGUUACUAAUCAAAGAAUUCAAGAUGGUGAAAAAGUGGAUCUUGUAACGAGUGAAAGAGAUAGUUCUGGGGCCAACAAAGAACAAAAGAUACAGGACUCUGAGACAAUUAAAACAAGGAUAGAAGGCACAACAAAUAUUCAGAGUGGUAUUGUAGAACAAGAGGUCAGAGGCAAAGAUGAGGAUUCUGAGAAAGGGGAUCCGUUUGAGUGGGAUAAAGAGACAAAUGAAAUGUUGCAAGGUGAAAUUCGAGAUGAUGAGGCACCUAAGAGUGAGGAGAAAGGGGAAAAGACAUCUGCUGAAAGUGCUGCUGAACCCAAGUCCAGUGAGAAUCUAAAAGCUAAUACUGAUUGUAAUAGGAAUGCAGAGUAUGAUGAGCAGAAGUGCCAGCAUAGGAACAAUAGUUCAAGACAAUCCAGUUAUGGUGAGGACCAGCCUCAGAGUGAGAGUCAGAAGGGUAUGUCCAACAUAAGUGGACCAGAAGGAAAUAUGAAGGCAGAUGAAGAAAUGGGGCUUUCUGAGACAGCAAAGGAUAGUAAGAGAAAAAGCAAAAGUAAAGAUGAGUGUUCAUUAUCAUGAGAUAUAUUAGAAGUCAGUAGAUUUCACUAUAGAAUCAUACUGUAAUAAAUCACUUUAUCAGAAUUGUUAUUUUAAUAUAAAUUUGUAUAUUUGUCAUUUAUGAUGAAGUUUAAUUUUGCCCUGAGCUGUUAUUUGCACUAUAUUCUGAGGCUUGCUCUGUCCUGCUUCACCAGCACCCAGCUUCUCUAGCCUUUGGCUACCUGCACAUCUUGCCUGUACAAUCAGUUUCCCAUUAUGUGCACGGUCUUUGUGAGCAGAUCAAGGUAAACCUUGCACUUUCCUCAGAUCACAAUUGGCUACCUGUCUUAAACUGAUCAUCGUGCUGCCAUGUAGCCACAAUUUCAUGGUGCAAUAUGAAGAUCAAGGGCAUGAUUGUUCCAUUAGUGCUGAGCAAUGAUACAAUGAAUACUUGCUGCUCAAUGAAGUAUUUUGAAUGCAAAAUCAAUAUGAAUUGUCAGUACACGAUAAAGAUUGGAGGGAUCCAGGUUAUUUUUCUUUUUCAAACCUAGAGCAGUUGGAAAGGGGCUGCAACUGGGUCACAACAUGCCAGAAUUAGGCUACGCAAAUCAGACAGAUUCCUCACCCUGACUAGUAUUCAAUGACUCUCUUAAGGUUCUUGCUCCUGAUCACUCUCUAAUAACUACUGCGUAGUGACCUGGUAGGGUUUCUGUCUCUGAUCAAUGUCCAGAACAGGUAAGUUUGCUAGAGAUGUUCUGAACACUGUGUAGUGACUCUUGGGUUAGAGAGAGACUCUUUAUGAUACAAUAUUGCUGCCUGUCUACUUAACUGCAUGUGAUGAUUUGUGGCUGCUAUUCCUCUGCUUUUUGUUUGAACAUUCCCUGAAAAAUAUCACCUCAUUUAUAUAUUCAAUUUUGCUGUGAAAUUAGGAAGAUAGACACACGGCUCAUAGAAACCCUGAACAGCUGCUUAAAAUUAAAUGAAGCACAGAUUGCAUCAGAAACUACGUGAAUUCUUAUUGUUGUGCCUUGAAUACAUAUCUUGGAGAGUUGAAAAGUCAUGGUGUACUGGCUACUGUGUCUAGCCUAAUGUUACAGUUUUCAUAUUGAUUAAUGUCAUUAACAGUCUUAAAAUAAGCACAUUGCAUAAAUGAGGCACUGUGACACAGCUGGAAUCUGAAUAAAAAGUCACAAUAUGAAUAUUUUGAUCAAUCUCUUCUGAGUUUAGAGUCAUUCUGUAUUUUAUGUUUUAAGUUGAACUGUGACUGCCAAUCAAUGUGUGAGAAAGGUUUUGGGCGUAGACUAUUCCUGAGUACAUGCCUAUAUGGAUUUACCGUUUCAUAGUGGCAAUAUAGAAUAAUAAAACUGUCAAUAAAAAUUAAGCUGGUUGCUGCAGGCCAUUCAAUUGACCAUUUUAUCCAUGGUAUAUGUGAGGAGGAGAUGGGGAAUGGAUUCAUCAGUUUCAUUGCCCCUUUAUUUGCGAAGAAAUAUGAUUAGUAUGCAGGAAAUGAAAAAUGUCUCGGUGCAGGUGGGUGGUAUGUUGCACAUAUCUUGCUAUGUGCCAAGACCUUUUGUGUCAUGUGUCUGUAUGAGUUUAGAUAUCUGUUAUGUACCUGCUUUAAGUUACCAGCCUCACGCUGGUCUCCACCUUCAUCAAUAUCUCUUGAUUUGAGAGUAAUAAUUCAAUUUACUCUACUAAGCUCUUAUCUUCCCCCAAAUGGCAAUUCAACAUUGCUGAAAAGUGGUGUCCAUAAUGGCUGAGCACAGGAUUAAGUUUGUUGUAAACCUUUGCCGGUCACAUGUUGUCCUCUGCUUACCUUUGGGUCUUGCACUCGAUGAUUGAGUAUUCAGGAAGGUUUCAAGAAACCAACCAAUAACUGUGGGUCUGCUUUCAAACGGUUGAAGUCUCCAAGAGUACUAAGGGUAACAAGAAUGAAAAACAUGCUUAAGUAUGGGACGGAUUGCAGGUUGAGCUAAAGGAUCUCUGCUUAGGAGGAUAGUUAAUAAUUAUCAUUAGGGAGUUGACACAAACCUCCUGAACCAAAGGUAGGGUAAGGGGAGAACCUGCUUUCACAUGGUUCAUGCCACUAAAUUGAAUUUGCAUUUUGACUCUUAUGUUUAGUAGAAAUAGAUAGUGAAACUGGGAGCAGAAGUAAGCCAUUCAGCCCACAGAGCCUGCUCUAAUCAUGUAACACCUUCUCUGUUUAGGGUAAUCCACAUGUUAUUCAUCUUUCAAAUACUUUUUUUCUGUCACUGUUAAAAGUUCAGGUUUACCGGGUUAAAACUCUAAUUUGUAAAGUGAGAAUAGAAUAUUGGGCAAUGGGUGAGCAAUCCACUUACCCUCUUCCCACCCCAUUUUAGUGCUCUCACAUGGAUGGAUUGGAGUGCCCCCACACCCCACCCUGAACCCCGCCACUUAUGUACAUCAUGUUCCUGACUUAAGAUCAUAAGGAAUAGGAGUAGAAUUAGGCCAUUCGGCCCAUCAAGUCUACUCCACCAUUCAAUCAUGGCUGAUCGUUCUCUCCCUCCUAACCCCAUUCUCAUGCCUUCUCCCCAUAACCUCUGACACCUAUACUAAUCAAGAAUCUAUCUCUGCCUUAAAAAUAUCCACUGACUUGGCUCCCACAGCCUUCUGUAGCAAAGAAUUCCACAGAUUCACCACCCUCUGACUAAAGAAAUUUCUCCUAAUUUCCUUCCUAAAGCAACGUCCUUUAAUUCUGAGGCUAUGACCUCUAGUCCAAGACUCCCCCACUAGUGGAAACAUCCUCUCCAUAUCCACUUUAUCUAAGCCUUUCACUAUUCUGUAUAUUUCAAUGAGUGAGUACAGGCCCAAUGCCGACAAACGCUCAUCAUAGAUUAACCUACUCAUUCCUGGGAUCAUUCUUGUAAACCUCCUCUGGACCCUCUCCAGAGCCAGCACAUCUUUCCUCAGAUAUGGUGCCCUAAAUUGCUCACAAUAUUCUAAAUGCGGCCUUCAGCACCUUAUAGAGCCUCAACAUUACAUCCCUGUUUGUGUACACAAGCCCUCUUGAAAUAAAUGCUAACAUUGAGUUUGCUUUCUUUACUACUGAUUUAUUAGUAUCGGCAACAAAUCGGUAACAUUGUAAAUGUUUCCAUUCGCCUGCAAGCUCCAUCAGAAAGGAGCUGCCAAUGCAUUCAUGGUGUCGAUCAUGGGAUGAAUACAGAUGUAGCUUUUCAGAUAUUCAGAUAAAUACCUAAGUGUGUGGAUUAAUGACAAACACUGACCUUGUCUCAUUACUAUCGGUAUCACAGACACAGACCUCCACACUACACUGCAUGACAAAAAUCACCAUUGAAUAUAACCCAUUAUAUUAAGGUGAAAUAAUUGGCAGAGAUUUGUCAUUAGUGAGUAGGAUAAAACUAGUGUACUAGUGAUCACUGGUUGGCGCGGAUUCAGUCGGCUGAAGGGCCUGUUUCCAUGCUGUAUCUCUGAACUAAACUAAACAUUGUGGGUGAGGCAAAAUCAGUGAAACAGGUUGGUGUGAGGAAUACAGGCAAACCCUCUACUCUAAAGUACAAAGACUCAGACACUCACCGUACUUUUAAAGUGCAUCAUGGAUUCACUCCCCACAGAAUGGGCUUGUAUUCCUGAGAGUAGCCAGAAGGUAACACACUGGACUAAAGUUGCUCAGGAACAAGAUGUUAGAAAUUUGCAUUCCAGCAUAUGUUUUCCUGGUGAUCAUAUUUUUUGUGACAAGUCUAAGUACAGUAAAACUGCAAAUUACUAAAUUUCUGGCACUCUAGGGACUUUGGCCUGACAUCCUUGGGACUUGGGAGCAAUAUUUCAAUUGGAUAUCCAGUAUCCAAUUUCCUGCAUAAUUGGAUAUAACUCCUAUUAAAACCCCAAGUGACUUUUAUUUCACUUUUUAUCUCAUGUUACACAGCAGUGUAAUACAUUUUCUAGUGAAGCCGGUGAGUUUAAAGGAAGCAGGAAAUUUACAAACACUCAACGCUGGGUCCAGCCACAACCUACCCAGAUUCUUGAUCCAUGGUGUUCUAACACUAACCCUAACUAAACACAUAACCCACAGUAUAGAACCCACCCCCACCCCUGGCUCAUAUUCCAGACUAAUUACUAAAACAUGCCAGACCGUCAGGAUUUCUGAACAAUCACAUCUAGAUUUUUGGUGUUUUACUGUAAGUCUUGUGUAACAUUUGUCUUUCCAUGUAAGUCAUAUCAUUUCCGCAAGUUGUCUGCUCAUUCUCACUAACUGUAAUAAUUGUGUAACUUCUAAAAUAACUAAUUGUAAACUCCUUUUGGAAGAAGUAACCUGUCAAUUGCAAUAGUCCAAUGAAAUUAUAACACACCAAGGGGCACCCUUCACAUACUGUUACCGUGCAAGUUAACCACUAUGCGUGUGUGUGGCUGAUGAAAUGCAUGAAGGCAAUUUGGCAAUUUGUCAUGUUGUCAGGGAGCAAAGCUGCCAAUCCACCAGAUAUUUCUCUCGCUAUCUCUCUAUCAUACACGUGCACACACACCCUGUGUAAUUUCUGAGUCUUUCCUUUGCUAUGUAAUUUGCUCUUUUUUCAUACUGUCAGUUCAAUCUUUCCUUUUCACAGGCUCUCACAUUAUAUGUCUAUGUCUGUCUCUUCCACUGCAUGCCUUUAUUUCUCCCUUUCUCUCUCUUCCUCCCAUUUAUUCAUCUUCCAUUUCUCUCUGGUGUGUUAUAAUAUUUUAUGUAACCCCAAAUUACAAGGAUAAUGAGAUUUUGUGUUCCAGUUCUGUUUGGUCAUAGGGAAAUUGCAUGCUAAACAAAAUGGAAGAUUAGACUGUUUGCAUGCAGCCCGAGGUUCCAGCACUCAUACUGACGUUGAACUAAACCUGGGCUCACCCUUGCUGUGCAUUGUGAUUUUAGGGUGAAUACAUUUAUAGAUGAAAAGGAAGCAUUAUUAGAACAG